rnacentral:rRNA from 1 species
CGCGUAGGCGGCCUGCUAAGUUGGUUGUGAAAUCCCCCGGCUCAACCGGGGAACUGCGACUAAUACUGGUGGGCUUGAGUGCAGGAGGGGAGAGCGGAAUUCCCAGUGUAGCGGUGAAAUGCGUAGAUAUUGGGAGGAACACCUGUGGCGAAGGCGGCUCUCUGGACUGCAACUGACGCUGAUGCGCGAAAGCUAGGGGAGCAAACAGGAUUAGAUACCCUGGUAGUCC